AGAGUUUGAUCCUGGCUCAGGAUGAACGCUAGCUACAGGCUUAACACGUGCAAGUCGAGGGGAAACGACAUCGAAAGCUUGCUUUUGAUGGGCGUCGACCGGCGCACGGGUGAGUAACGCGUAUCCAACCUGCCCACCACUUGGGGAUAACCUUGCGAAAGUAAGACUAAUACCCAAUGACGUCUCUAGAAGACAUCUGAAGGAGAUUAAAGAUUUAUCGGUGAUGGAUGGGGAUGCGUCUGAUUAGCUUGUUGGCGGGUAACGGCCACCAAGGCGACGAUCAGUAGGGGUUCUGAGAGGAAGGUCCCCCACAUUGGAACUGAGACACGGUCCAAACUCAUACGGGAGGCA
rnacentral:rRNA from 1 species